CUCCCCCACUGUGUCCCCCUCCCAUUUUUUCCCCUCCUCGCUUUUCGCCUUCUAAUUUUGCUUCCAAACACGGUAUAAUAGAAGAAAAUAUUUUCGAGGCUUAACGCGUUUCCCCUCGCUCACGCUCAAAGCUUGAUGGCGUCGGAAUCAGAACCAAACCCACUAGAAGAAGAAGAACAACAACGAUACCAGCAAGACCAAGAAGCAGCCCUUGAGGCGCCUGCACAUCACCCUUCUGCCCCUCCCGAUGAGCUAUUUGACAUUUCAACUACAGUUGAUCCUAGUUAUAUUAUAUCUUUGAUACGAAAACUUAUUCCAACUGGUUUGGUGAAUGAUCACAACACUCAUGGAGUUGAUGCAAGCGAUGCCACUGGUGAUGGGUUGAGUGCUGAUUGCAUGGAAGAUUGUGGAGCCUUUCCAUCUAGAGAUCAAGUUCAAGACUCAUUCAACGAGUCUGAGAGUAUGAGCACAGUUGAUAGUUUGGAUAAAUCUGCUUGUCAAGAUGGAGACAAAAAGGAUUCAUCUUUUAGAUGUGAACAGCCUUGUGUGCCAACAGGAGAAGAGGCUUGGGAAGAGUAUGGAUGUGUUUUGUGGGAUCUUGCUGCGAGUAAAACUCAUGCAGAACUUAUGGUGGAAAACCUUAUACUUGAAGUGCUUUUGGCUCACCUUAUGUUUUCACAGUCAGUAAGAAUCACGGAGAUCUGCCUGGGCAUCAUUGGAAACCUUGCCUGUCAUGAAGUUCCAAUGAAGCAUAUAAUCUCUACUAAUGGACUGAUUGAGAUAAUUGUCGACCAGUUGUUUUUGGAUGACACUCAAUGCCUGUGUGAAGCUUGUCGGUUGUUAACUUCUGGUCUUCAAAGUGACAAGUGCAAUACUUGGGCUGAGGCAUUACAGCCUGAACAUAUUCUGGGGCGCAUUGUGUGGGUUGCAGAAAAUACCUUGAAUCCACAGCUUUUAGAAAAGAGUGUGGGAUUAUUAUUAGCUAUCCUUGAAAGUCAGCAGGAUGUUUCAUCUGUUCAUCUUCUGUCUCUGAUGAAACUGGGUUUGACAGGUCUAUUGAUAAAUCUAUUUGCUUCUGAAAUGAGCAUGUUAAAAGGGGAAAGAGUACCUGAAAGGUAUGCUGUUCUUGAUGUAAUUCUUCGUGCAAUUGAAGCUCUUUCAAAUUUAGAUGGCAAUUCCCUAGAAAUUUGUUUUAACAAGGAACUCUUUCAACUAGUUUGUGACCUGGUCAAACUCCCUGAUAAAGUAGAGAUUGCCAGCUCUUGUGCUACUGCUUCAGUUUUAAUUGCAAAUAUUCUGUCUGAUGUACCUGAUCUUGCUUUGGAGAUAUCACAUGGUAAGUUGUAUGUUUCUCAUUGUAUCAAGGCUCUAAUUGGACUGGAGGUGAUGCAUUGGAUAUUUCCAGAUUUGACUUUUUUACAGGGUUUGCUUGAUAUAUUUCCUCUUGUCUCGGAUGAUUUGGAAGCACGGAGUGCACUCUGGAGUAUUAUUGCAAGGUUACUGGUUUGUGUAAAAGAAAAUGACAUGGGCCUAUCAAAUCUGCAUCAGUAUGUGCUGGCUCUAGUAAGCAAAACUGACCUAAUUGAAGAUGAUCUUCUUGACCAGAAAUUAGAUAAUCCGAGUGAAGAAUCCAAGAGUUUGACCAGUUCCAAUAUAAAAUCAGAUACUAGAAGAACAGCUCUUCGAAGAAUAGUCAGUAUUUUAAAUCAGUGGACAGCAUCAAAGGACUCUCGCGAAGGGGAUGAUGUGAUGGAAGAAAAUUAUGCGAUUGAUGUAAAUAUUGGUAGACUGUUGGCUUGCUGUUGUAAACAUAUAAACAAAAUAUUAUAAAAAGAACUGCCUCCUGUGGCAUGCCCGGAGAAAUGGCAAAAUUGGAUGAAGCAUGCAGACUGACUGAUCAAUGUAUGGAUACUUUGGUAUUUGGAUGCCCAUCCUAAAUCAGAGCAUAAAGCCCCAGUACAUGGUAUGGCUUGGAGCAAAUUUUUAAAAAGUCAUUAGUAGAUUAGUGUUUGAUUUGAUUUAUAAGUUAAAAAAUAACAUAAAAUCAAUCAUGAGGAAGGUAUUUUUAUGAUAGCUUGAGUACAUGAUCUUUCAGUUGGAAUUCCAGCACCGUAUGACAAGUGUACCUCCAUAUCCAGUGCGUCAGGUAACAUGAAACAGAAAUACAAUUCUUGUACCAUUAAUAAACAGAAUGGCUCAUGUUUUUUGCCCCCUAAUCCACCAAAUCAAUUCAACCAAAUCAAUUGUAAUUGCACUGUUCUUUAUUGUAUAGUUAUGUAAUUGUCCGGACCACUGCCAAAUCUUUGAAGAAUAGUCAGAACGUUAUGCGAUUGAUGUAAAUAUUGGUAGAUUGUUGGAUUACUGUUGUGAACAUAUAAAAAACCAUAGUCCAUCAGUAUAGUGGGGAAAGAAGUGUAACAAGAGCCUAGGGGUCACAAGUUAGGAAUGUUGCUGCCUACACCGAUGAGCUGAGCGAAAUAGAGAAUCCUUUCUGGAAAGGCAUUAAUUGCACCUUCAAGCUCUGAUACAAAAGAAAAUGUCCAUAACAGGGUAAACUAACACAAGGACUUGAAGGAUCUUGCAGGUCGACUUCUAAAUUAGCACUUGUUAGGUUGGGAAAAACUAUGCACCAUUUUCAAUCAUUAGUUUUGUACUUUCUUGUGACUGGGAAGAAAAGAAACAGAGAACUUCUAAA